UACGGGUCUGCUUUCGUGUUUCUCCUUGUUUGUAUAAAAAACUAAGGAGGGACAACUUAAGUAAGUCAAGAUGGCCACUAGACCACAGUCUAACAAGCGCGCUGCGCAAAAUUCAAACAUAUAUAGCCUAUGUACGCCGACUAAAACAAACAAAAAAAAAUCCAAAAACCUAGAUCACGUAAUGUCGAGCAUAGACAGAUUACGUAAAUUUUCC